rnacentral:rRNA from 1 species
UGGGGAAUUUUGGGCAAUGGGGGAAACCCUGACCCAGCGACGCCGCGUGGAGGAUGACGGCCUUCGGGUUGUAAACUCCUGUCAGGUGGGAAGAAAAGCCAGUCGGUUAAUACCCGGCAGGAAUUGACGGUACCACCAAAGGAAGCCCCGGCUAACUCCGUGCCAGCAGCCGCGGUAAUACGGAGGGGGCAAGCGUUAUUCGGAUUUACUGGGCGUAAAGCGCACGUAGGUGGCAUGGUAAGUCAAAGGUGAAAGCCCUCGGCUCAACCGAGGAAUUGCCUUUGAAACUGUCUUGCUUGAGUCCGGGAGGGGGGAGCGGAAUUCCCAGUGUAGCGGUGAAAUGCGUAGAUACUGGGAGGAACACCGGUGGCGAAGGCGGCUCCCUGGACCGGUACUGACACUGAGGUGCGAAAGCGUGGGUAGCAAACA